rnacentral:lncRNA from 1 species
CGUUAACCCACCAGGAGGAACGGGCAACUCAGACCGCGCCACCUUUAAGAGCUGUAACACUCACCGCGAAGGUCUGCGGCUUCACUCCAGAAGUCAGCGAGACCACGAAUCCUGCGGGAGGAACGAACUCCGACCGCGCCACCUUUAAGAGCUGUAACACUCACUGCGAAGGUCUGUGGCUUCACUCUUGAAGUCAGCAAGACCACGAACCCACCAGAAGGAAGAAACUCCGGACACAUCUGAACAUCUGAAGGAACUCGGGACACGCCAUCUUUAAGAACUGUUAACACUCACUGCGGGGGUCUGCGGCUUCAUUCCUGACGUCAGCGAGACCAAGAACCCACCGGAAGGAACCAGUUCCAGACAUACUGGGACCGUGUGGAUACGUCGGUUCUGCAUAAUGGAAUUCAUAAUUUUGUUCUAUCAAACCUGCAAAACAGUACCAGCACCUAUAGAUAGCAUGUUGUAGAAAAUGGCAAGAAUAUGUAUAAAAAUGGAAAUGGAUCCUAACCAUCUCACCUUACUUGCUCCUAGAGAAGUCCAACAGGUGAUGGUCUUGUUUUCCCAAGCUGCUACAGAGCUUCUGCAGCUCCAAGCAUGACCACUAUAUUUGGCUGCUUAAAAGCAUAACAAGGGCAGAAAUCAUAAAGGCUUUGCCCAGAGGGCCUUGAUUGUCCUUGCCUUCUUGUCCUUUGGUGAGAACUUCAUUGGUGGUGGCUCCAAAAAUCAGGAGACUUUCUGUGAUGAAUUCACCAUAAGAACGUGGGACCCAGCCUCCCUUGAAGGACGUCCUAUAUGAUGCCUGUUUCCAAGGGAAGAAGUAAAGUCAAGAAACAAGAUAUCCUCAAGCUACUCUUAGGAUCAGUGUCUGCAUAGAUCUGGCACACAGAAAUGCAAGGAAACAAUUUGUGCAAAGCAUUAAAAAAAAAAGGGGGGACCCUGAGAGUAUAACAAGUGCUCCUGAGAGAGGACAGACGGAGAGGACGCAUGGGCAGGGAUGGCCGCCCUGAGCAGCUGAUGUUCGAGCUAAGAUCUGAAAGGUGCAUGAUUUCCCACUUACCUCCCGCAACCACUACCACCCACGUUGUCCACAGUAUUCAGCUGUCUCAGGGAGGAUCACAAUUAUUCUAAUGGGACUGCAAAGAGUGAAGGACACAGCUUUUAACAUCAGAUUCGAAUCCUACAAUUUGGAACCCAUGGGCACUUCUAGAUUGGAUCUUGCAGAGAUUUUUUACAACAGAAAUAAUGGAAAGGCAAAAGAAAACAUUGAGUAAUAACCAACCCAAGCAAGUCCAGCCUCUUUCUGCAGAAGAUCUCCGUGGGUCUUUUUAUCCUUAAGAAGUUUUGGAGGCAAGGAAGAGCAGAAAUCACUCUCCGCAUUGGAUAGAUGAAGAAAGGAGCCUCAGAGAAGAGAUUCAGAGGUUCUCCUAAGGCCACUAACUAAUAAAUGAUGACAUGAGAGUAAACUGAAGACUUGCAGUGCCAGGGUUGGUGUGGUCCUCCCUGAUGGGGGCCUUGACCUGUGAGGCCAAGGACAACAAAGGAACAGCUGUCUCCUUGCCAUGGAAGUGGCCCAGUAACCAGAAGGACUCAACUGUCAGGGCUGCAAGAACUUCCCAAGGACCCAGCUCUCUGCUGGAGCUGCAAUCAAGAAAUUGAAACACCUGUGGAGCCCCACCUCGCUGAAGAACCAGCACACCUGUCGACCACUGUCUUUCCACCUGCAGAUCCAGGAAGAAAACCAAAGCAAGGAGUAGGGAGAGGCUGUCCUCGGAGAGGCUGUUCUAGGACUGUGCUGCUCCCCUGGGUGCGCAGCCCCUGUGUCUUCCUCCUUGCGUUACCACUUUCCCUGCCCAUGAACUGAAGGCUCUCUCCUCCCUCUCCCUCUCUGCAUCUUAAAGCUGAGCCCACUAACAUAAAGCCUGGACAACUUGAUCUGCAGUGAAAUCUUGAAGACAAAGUCUGGCCUCCUCAUUAGAAUCCACAUGUUAUUGAGCCUUACCCACUGGUGCUGGCCCUGGCACAGAGAAGGCAACUUAAUACGUUAAUACAACUUAAUAAACUUGUAGAAUGAAUGAAUAUUGUCUGGAAGACACACCAAGUCAAGGGUCGUUUGACAUCUAAUGUUCAAAAACUAUUUUGUGCACCUACCAUUUAGUGGGUACUAUCCUAUUUAUUUAGGACAUGCUGGUGAAGCAAACGGAUUCAUUCUCUGCCCUUGAUAUAUUUUAGCAGGGAAUACAAACAAGUAGUUGCCAUGCAUGUGAUGGUAUGAGAUCCAACAGAUGAAAAGCUCUUACCACCUCCAGGCUCUGUGUUGCACAGAAGCACAGCCUACACUAGAGUCUUCAGUUCCAGCUGACUUUGCAAUCUGGACUUUCCAACGUCUAGUGUGAGCUAAGAUUUGGCUGCCUUUCCCCACUUCCUGCCCCAUGUAGCAGGCCUCUUUUGGCCCUGGGUAUGGAGUAUUCCUA